GAGCGGCGCCUUCCCCUGUGGGCGCGGGGCGGGCUCGCCUCAACGCCCCGCUUCCCGCCCGCCGAGCGGGGGCGGCGUGAGGGGCGAGCAGUGGCGGGCCGGGCCGGCCUUGAGGCGGGUGGGAGCUGCGGCCGAGCAGACCCGUAGCGGCCACGCUGAGGGGCGGGGGGGAGGACGGACACAGCCCUAGGGGGCCCUCCGGAGCUUUCGGCCCUGUCCUGGGUGGGAGCCCAGGCCCAGCACCGCCCGCCGCGGGAGCCAUGAGGGUGUCCCUCCACCUCAGCCUUCUGGGACGGGCAGCCAUCGGUGAGGCGCACCCACAGCCUUCGGGCCUCUCUAGCCGGGCUUGGCCAACAACCCUGCUGGGCAAAGGGGCAGAGCAGGAGAGGAAGCAGCUCAUGGCACUUUGAGGAUUUGCCUGAGGAAACGUUGCCCUCAGCAGCCUAAGGCGUGGAGCAGAGGACACCCCAGUGCGGCCGUGGCGGAGGCACCGCCGGUCCCCUGGAAGGUAUGCACAACUGUACAGCGUGGGAAGCCACGCCAGCGGAGCUUGGCCAGGCUGUCAAACAAGCAGCUGCUUACAUUAAAGGUGCAAUGGGAAAGUGGCUCACAUCUGUAUGCUAAAGGUGGUCGUCACGCCAACCCCAAACACCCAUGAUGUGGAAGCUCUCUGGCUUUCUGACGUCCUAUUGGAAACUCGAAUUCUGAUAGCAAAGGCUGAUACAGGGAAGAUGAAAUUAAGAAACUCCAUAGAGCUCACACUGUGAUCGUAUCACGGGCUGCAUUAUUCUUAUCUUCCUCCGCUGAAUCUGCCAAGUCAACUUCAAGAAGUCGUCCAUGGCAUUAAGAUAUUCCACCGAUCCUGAGUGCUCAUAAUCUGCACUAGAACUGAAUCCUGAAAGCUGCAAAGCUUACUGUUCUUACACUGCUGUACUAAUGUUUACCAAAUACCAUUCAUGAGCACAAAUUUUUCAUUAUCAAGAAGCUGUAAACAUCCUAAAGGACUUAGCACCCAUAAAUCUGGCUGAUACCUUGCCAGCCUUGUGAAAAGAUUGUGAGUGACACUGACCAUGAUCGAUGCCUUUGUCACUCCCCACAGACAUCUCUUUACCUCUCAAACACACAGUAGUCAAGCAAAUCCUGAAGAUUCCCACAUGUGGCACAUCAAUUUAUCUGUUCAUGGCCAAACCUCCCUGUUCCUGUGAGAGUCCUCAGAGAAGCUGCCCAAAGGCCACCUCCAAGUGCAUCUCUCUGAAGCUAAUGUUCACAGCUCAGCACAAAUUUAGGCCAAGACGUAGAGAUGAAACAGUUUUACUGGCAGUGUUCCUCCACUGCUGGACCUUUCCCUUACGGGGUCCUGCACCAGUCAGUGGAGAGGCCUCUGGCGAUAAACACUCAAGUGCCAACAGUGUGGAGGUGAUGCACAAGUGGUCAGUCCAGGCAGUAAUUCGGGACUAUUUUUGGAUGCAUUGUUGACACCGAGCUCCCACUUACCAGUCUGAGUAAUGCUUUUCAUCAUCUCCAGGUGACUUACCAUUUCUGUCCCUUCCUGGUGCAUGACUUGACUGCAAUUAUUCAUGCCUUCACCACCUCUCAGUUGAAGUACAGCAAUGUAAUGCACCUGGGAAAGAAGCUCACAGCACUUCAGAAACUCCAGCUAGUACACAGGACAUUGCAGAAAUCACCUCAGCAGCACUGGGAACCAUCCUGGACUCUACUCGAGUUCCCCGUAAAAUAGAAUCAAGUGCAGGGUUCUCACCUUCCUAAUCCUCCACACUGCUAGCCCACCAUAGCCAAAAGGCUGCCCAGUAGGAUGAGGAGUAUUGCUGCCACCUUCAUUACUGCCGGUCGGUGGAGGGAUGGGACAGCUUUGUGGCUGGAAAGUAGAACCAUCUCGGGAUAAAAUCUGAGGAUAUGGAAUGAACCAAGUAAAUAUCAUUAAUAAAUGUGCUGCCAAUUA